AGACCAAAGUCAGGUGCUUUUAAAUACUGUGAUCAAAGAUGGAAGUUCUCUAAAGGAUGUGAUAGUUACUCAAUUGUGCUGCAUUUUCCUGAGGAGAUAUAAGC
rnacentral:snoRNA from 1 species